CUCAUCGUUAUCCACAUGAACAGCUCUGACCCAAUGAUGUUCGGAUACAUGGCUAAGAUCUACUAGUCAGAAUCAAAUCGUCUGACAUCGAAUUAUCUUUUUGAAAUGACGUUCAGUGUCGAAUUAUCCUAUCAAAAUGAUAGCUCAAUAAUGAUUUCACAGCUAUCGAAAUAGCAAAACAGUCAGAGAUCUCUCGUAUUCCAAAAACUCAUAAAGGCCAACAGCUG
rnacentral:lncRNA from 1 species